GACGAACGCUGGCGGCGUGCUUAACACAUGCAAGUCGAACGAAGCGGGGACGGGUGAGUAACACGUGGAUAACCUCCUAUAAGACUGGGCUAACUUCGGGAAACCGGAGCUAAACCGGAUACUUACAGAUGGCUCCGCGCUGCAUUAGCUAGUGGGUAAGGUAACGGCUUACCAAGGCAACGAUGCAUAGCCGACCUGAGAGGGUGAUCGGCCACACUGGAACGGAGAAACGGUCCAGACUCCUACGGGAGGCAGCAGUAGGGAAUCUUCCGCAAUGGGCGAAAGCCGGACAGAGCAACGCCGCGUGAGUGAUGAAGGUCUUCGGAUCGUAAAACUCUGUUAGUAGGGAAGCGGUACCUAAUCAGAAAGCCACGGCUAACUACGUGCCAGCAGCCGCGGUAAUUC
rnacentral:rRNA from 1 species